GGGCUGUUGGGGGGCUGUUGCUCGCGCCCUGCGCCGGGGCAGGCGCUGGUCGCCGGGGGCUGCUUUGUGCCCCGGCUCUGGAACCUCCCUCGCGGGGGAGGGGCUGCGUUUGGGGGGCCGGGGAUGCUGCGGCGCCCCCGUAGCUCCGGCACAAGUGGUCCCGGGGGGCUCUCCCCCGAUCCCGUCCCCCUGGCACGGCGCGCCCGGAGCUCCGCGCUCCGGAGAGACCUCCCGGUCCGGGGGCUGAGGGGCGGGAGGGCUCCCGAACCCUGCUUUCUCGCUAGGGUCCGACACCUGGGGGGGUCUGGCGGGGGUCGUCCGCGAACCCAAGCAGGCAGCAUCCGGCUCCGACCCCUGGGCCCCUCGGCCUGGGGCCCCCCGCCUCGCUCCCCCCGCCCCACCGGCGAUGGAAAGUUUGGGGCGGGCUCCGGCCGCGCCGGUGCCGGGAGAUCGGGUUUCCCCGCGGCGCCCCCCUCCCCCCGCCCCCAGCGCUUCCCGGGGGGCCGAGCCCGCGAGCGAGUGGGGCGGGUAGGAGACAGGCUCUCCCCCAGACUCCCGAGCCCAGCUCCUAGAGAAGAGCUCUCGCUCGCUGCGCACGGCUCCGGAGGGAGCGCAGGUCGCCCGCGGCAGGGGAGCCGUGAGCGCCCCGGCAGGAGCGGCCGGGCGGGGGCCGGGGGUCCCCGGAGCACCCACCGCCCCCCUCCCCCGGGACCUGCGGCAGGGCAUCGGGCGCAGAGCCGAGGGCCGGGGGCAGGCACCAUGGACCCAUGCUUGGGCGUCUGGCUGGUGGCGUCGGCACUGCUGGGCCUGGGCUAUGGGGACGAUGCCUGGUGGAACCCUGUGCCUAGGAAGACCGUGUCCUAUGAGGAGUUGGCAGCUGUGGUAAGGCGGUUCUCUCAAGUGGGCAUCCAAGACUUUCUAACGCUGACGCUGGCUGAAAGCAAUGAGGUCCUCUAUGUGGGGGCCCGAGAAGCCCUUUUUGCCCUCAGCUUGGAGACCCUGGAGCUGCAGUCAGUGAUUUCAUGGGAGGCUACAGUGGAGAAGAAGGCUGAAUGUAUCCAGAAAGGGAAGAGCAACCAGACGGAGUGUUUCAACUUCAUCCGCUUCCUGCAGCCGUACAACUCUUCACAUUUGUAUACCUGUGGAACCUACGCCUUCCAACCAAAGUGCACCUACAUUAACAUACUCACCUUCUCUCUGGAGCAUGGGGAGCUUGAAGAUGGGAAGGGCAAAUGUCCCUAUGACCCAGCCAAAGGCCACACUGGCCUCAUUGUGGAUGGUGAAUUGUAUUCAGCAACACUCAACAACUUUCUGGGUACAGAACCAGUAAUUCUGCGCAACCUGGGGCCUCACUACUCCAUGAAGAAUGAGUACCUUUACUCUUGGCUCAAUGAACCCCAUUUUGUAGGCUCUGCCUAUGUUCCAGAAAGUGUGGGGAGCCCCACAGGGGAUGACGACAAGAUCUACUUCUUCUUUAGUGAGCGAGCCGUGGAGUACAAUUGCUAUGCUGAGCAGGUGGUGGCUCGAGUGGCUCGAGUUUGCAAGGGAGAUAUGGGAGGUGCACGGACCCUGCAGAAGAAGUGGACGACGUUCCUAAAGGCCCGGCUGGUAUGUGCCGCUCCAGAUCGGCAGCUCUACUUCAAUCAGCUUCAGGCCCUGCACACCCUGAAAGGAGACAAUUGGCUCAACACAACCUUCUUUGGGGUCUUUCGGGCCCGAUGGGGAGAUGUGGAUCUGUCAGCCAUAUGCCAGUACCAAUUAGAAGACAUUCAGCGAGUGUUUGAGGGGCCGUACAAAGAAUAUCAGCAACAAGCACAGAAAUGGGGGCCUUACACUGAUCCAGUCCCUAGUCCUCGGCCUGGCUCAUGCAUCAACAAUUGGCACCGACGACAUGGUUAUACCAGUUCUCUGGAGUUGCCUGAUAACACCCUUAACUUUGCUAAGAAACAUCCACUGAUGGAGGGACAGGUGGUACCUCGGUGGGGUCGACCCCUGCUGGUGAAGAAGGAUACUAAUUUCACUCACCUAGUGGCUGAUCAAGUGAAGGGACUUGAUGAUGUGACCUAUGAUGUGCUGUUCAUUGGAACAGGGGAUGGCUGGCUCUACAAGGCUGUGAACUUGGGUGCUUGGGUCCAUGUGAUUGAGGAACUACAGGUGUUUGAUAAGGAACCAGUAGAGAGCCUUGUCCUGUCCUAUGAUAAGAAGCUGCUCUUUGCUGGUUCACGGUCACAGCUGGUUCAACUUCCCUUAGCUGACUGCAGCAAGUACAGAUCCUGUGCCGACUGCAUCCUCUCCCGUGAUCCCUAUUGUGUUUGGAGCACCAACACCAGUCGAUGCGUACCUCUUCGUGGUCACCUUAAAUCUCCAUUUAUCCAGGAUGUGGUGAACUCAAAUACAGGCCUUUGCAACCUUCGACCCAACAAGAAAGUUAAAAUCACUCCCAAGAACAUCACUGUGGUGUCGGGUACAGAUUUAGUGCUGCCAUGUCGCCUUUCCUCUAACCUAGCACAUGCUCGUUGGACUUUUGGGGGCCGGGAACUCCCAGCUGAGCAGCCCGGCUCGCUGCUCUACGAUGUCCGACUGCAGGCGCUGGUGGUGUUGGCGGCCCAGCCCCGCCACGCUGGUGCUUAUCAUUGUUUCUCUGAGGAGCAGGGAGCACGGCUGGCUGCUGAGGGCUACCUGGUGGCAGUGGUAGCCGGUCCAUCAGUGACGCUGGAAGCUCGGGCCCCCUUGGAGAACCUGGGGUUGGUGUGGCUUGCAGUAGUAGCCCUGGGGGCCUUGUGCUUGGUACUGUUGCUUCUGGUGUUAUCACUUCGACGCAGACUACGUGAAGAGUUAGAGAAAGGGGCCAAAGCAGCUGAGAGAACCCUGGUAUAUCCGCUGGAGUUGCCCAAGGAGCCCACAAGCCCUCCCUUCCGGCCUGGGACUGACCCUGAUGAGAAGCUUUGGGACCCAGUUGGUUAUUACUACUCAGAUGGUUCACUAAAGAUUGUACCUGGUCAUGCCCGCUGCCAGCCCGGUGGAGGACCCCCUUCUCCACCUCCUGGAAUCCCAGGCCAGCCCCUGCCUUCUCCGACCCGACUUCACUUGGGGGGUGGACGCAGCUCCAAUGCCAAUGGUUAUGUGCGGCUGCAGCUGGGUGGAGACGACCGGGCGGGACCUGUGCAUCCUUUGCCCGAGUUGGCAGAUGAACUGAGGCGAAAACUGCAGCAGCGCCAGCCGUUGCCUGACUCAAACCCUGAAGAGUCAUCUGUAUGAGAGGAGCCCCCCCACAAUGGGGGGGUGCAGCUCCGACUUUUGCACAGGCACCAGCUACCUCAGGGACAUGGCUGCAGGCACCUGCUUUGCCCGGGAUAGACCCUAGCUAGGGAAUUGCCCUGUCUAGGUUGGCUCCUAUCCAGCAACCUGCUCUGCCAUGGAGACCUGCCCUGCUCACCAUGGGCUCUGCCAUGUGGGUUUGCUCUGUUCUGGGCUUUUGCCUUCUGGGCAUCAACCCCACAAAUGGCCUCUUCUUUACAUAGAGAGGAGGCCAAGGAUCCUGCAGACAGACCUUUGGCCCCAGCAGCCAAAAUCUUUUCAAGACAGAAAUUCCAGUCUUCCCUGGCCUGGGGCCUUCCUAGGGGCUUCUUCCUGGACCUAUGAAGGGGAAGAGGCCCGGGGUUGUACCACUCUGCCUUCUUUGCCCCCGCCUGCCCAGAGGCCUGUGAUGGUAUAUAACCACUUCUCAAGGGAAGGAGGAAUAGUGGGGCAGAGAUGUACAUAUGGGGGUGGGAGAGGGAGGUAGGGUUGUACCCCCUUUGGAAAGUGACUGCUCAGGGGAGGGCCUGGGCCUGUUCUUAGGGCUGUGAAUGUUUUAAGAGUCAGGGGAGGGAGGUGGGGCCCUUUUGUGGGGGAUAGUGGGGAGGGGUUCCUACUUGGCCUUCAGGGGGCUCAGUGGUAUUUUAUACUUGUGGGGAGGGGGGUGGGGAAGGAGGGGGGUUGUGGCUUAUCCAACACAACCUCUCCCAGCAGGAGGAGUAGGGGUCCUAACAGUGUAAUUUAUUGUGUCCCUGCAUAUUUAUUUGUUGUAAAUAUUUGAAUAUUUUUAUAUUGCAAAAUAAAAGAGAAAAUAAGCCUAAGGCCAGUUCCUGGGAUGCCGGUCAGAGAUCUAUUCAGACUCUCCUAGAGUUUGAAGGAGGACAAAGAUGAUGAUGGCUAAGCACUGGAAAGGGAAGGCUUGGUGGGAAAAGGAGCUGGGAGUUUUAAGAAGCUAAGCAAGGGGUGGAUGAUGGAGGGGGGGGGAGCCCUUCCUUGUUCCAGAAUUAUAGGGUGGCGAAUCGGACUGUCGGCCCUGUGCUCUGCUGUGCUCUUUGUGGGG